GACGAACGCUGGCGGCGUGCCUAACACAUGCAAGUGGAGCGACGAACCAGGGCUUGCCCUGGGGCCAAGCCGCGAACGGGUGAGUAACACGUGGGUAACCUGCCCCGACGACCGGGACAACCCGAGGAAACUCGGGCUAAUACCGGAUGUGGUGUACAUGCAUAAGCGUGUCCACUAAAGGAAGCUUCGGCCUCCGCAUCGGGAUGGGCCCGCGGCCCAUUAGCUAGUUGGUGGGGUAACGGCCUACCAAGGCGACGAUGGGUAGCUGGUCUGAGAGGACGAUCAGCCACACUGGGACUGAGACACGGCCCAGACUCCUACGGGAGGCAGCAGUGGGGAAUCUUGCGCAAUGCGCGAAAGCGUGACGCAGCAACGCCGCGUGA
rnacentral:rRNA from 1 species